rnacentral:rRNA from 1 species
GACGAACGCUGGCGGCGUGCUUAACACAUGCAAGUGGAGCGACGAACCAGAGCUUGCUCUGGGGCAGAGCCGCGAACGGGUGAGUAACACGUGGGUAACCUACCCCGAUGACCGGGACAACCCGAGGAAACUCGGGCUAAUACCGGAUGUUCUCGAUCCUCGUAAGGGGGUUGAGCAAAGAUAGCUUUGGCCUUCGCAUCGGGACGGGCCCGCGGCCCAUUAGCUUGUUGGUGAGGUAACGGCUUACCAAGGCGACGAUGGGUAGCUGGUCUGAGAGGACGAUCAGCCACACUGGGACUGAGACACGGCCCAGACUCCUACGGGAGGCAGCAGUGGGGAAUCUUGCGCAAUGGGCGAAAGCCUGACGCAGCAACGCCGCGUGGGGGAAGAAGGCCUUCGGGUUGUAAACCUCUUUCAGUAGGGACGAAGCGCAAGUGACGGUACCUGCAGAAGAAGCACCGGCUAACUACGUGCCAGCCGCCGCCGUAAAAC